rnacentral:lncRNA from 1 species
AUUUAUAGAAUUACUUAAAAAAUUAAUAUCAUUGUAUUAUUCAUAUGUAUAUAUACAUAUUUCUUUCAAUUACACACAAUUACAUUUUAUAUGAUUUAUAUGAUAAAAAUUAUAAUAGUAAUUUUUCAUAAAAUUUAUAUUUUUAUUUAAUUAAAAGUUAUCAAGUUCCAUAGAUUUAUUUUUGGAAUUUUAUUUAUUUUAAACAACAAUAAUUUUAAAUUUUUACUUAUUUUAAUUCAAUUUGGAUAUUUUAUUAAAAUAUUAAUAUAAAAUUUUAUGUAAUCUUCUGAAAU